rnacentral:rRNA from 1 species
GAUGAACGCUGGCGGCGUGCUUAACACAUGCAAGUCGAACGAAGCAUUUGCGACAGAUUUUUUCGGAAUGAAGUUGCUUAUGACUGAGUGGCGGACGGGUGAGUAACGCGUGGGUAACCUGCCUUGUACUGGGGGAUAGCAGCUGGAAACGGCUGGUAAUACCGCAUAAGCGCACAAUGUUGCAUGACAUGGUGUGAAAAACUCCGUUGGUAUAAGAUGGACCCGCGUCUGAUUAGCUAGUUGUUGAGAUAACAGCCCACCAAGGCGACGAUCAGGAGCCGACCUGAGAGGGUGACCGGCGACAUUGGGACUGAGAAACAGUCCGGAAUCCUACGGGAUGCAGCAGAGGGGGAUAGUGCAAAAUGGAGGAAACGCUGAUGGAGCGACGCCGGGUGAGUGAAGAAGUAAUUCGUUAUGUAAAGCUCUAUCAGCAGGGAAGAUAGUGACGGUACCUGACUAAGAAGCGCCGGCUAAAUACGUG